CUUUUUUCACCCCGAGUUUGUAGAAUGAUUUAGACUGAUGGGACUUCCCAAGACCUGUCAGCUUUGUCAAACUACCAAGAGUGCUGCUUUGUGUUAAGAAAAAUACGAUUUUUUUAGUUUCUGCCGCAUAUUAAUCAGAAACCAUGUUUUAUUUCUCAGUUUAAGAGAUCAGCUUAUGUCCUACGGGUUUUGGGGGUUUGUUUGUUUGUUUUGUCCUUAGAAAACCCGAGGUUCUUUCGCGAGGGAUGAUGCUGAAGAGCAGUUCUCGAGUGGCAGCUCGAGAGCUUUACCGGAGCCGAGGGCUCCUCUCUUCCCACAAGAGGGAGCCCGGCGGUCACUGCAGGAUCAGCUCCGCGCCGGCUCGGGAGCGCUUCGCGAUCUCUCGCCGGCCAGCAGAGGGGAUGUGCCGGGCAGGCCGGCCCGAGUUUAGCCCCUCAGCGCAGAUUCUCAGUUUCGAAUCACAGGUCAGCUAAUGCCUGUUAUAUGUUAAAAGCUGAGGAAACGAGUGCAGGAAAAGCAGUUAAAGCCAG
rnacentral:lncRNA from 12 species